ACACGACUACAUUAGAUACCCGCGUAGUCCUAGCCGUAAACGAUACUCGCUAGGUGUCGGCCACGGUGCGACCGUUGUCGGUGCCGUAGGGAAGCCGUGAAGCGAGCCACCUGGGAAGUACGGCCACAAGGCUGAAACUUAAAGGAAUUGGCGGGGGAGCACCACAACGGGUGGAGCUUGCGGUUUAACUGGAUUCAACGCCGGAAAUCUUACCGGGACCGACAGCAACAUGAAGGCCAGGCUGAAGACUUUGCCGGAUUAGCUG
rnacentral:rRNA from 1 species